UGGGGAAUUUUGGACAAUGGGCGAAAGCCUGAUCCAGCAAUGCCGCGUGUGUGAAGAAGGCCUUCGGGUUGUAAAGCACUUUUGUCCGGAAAGAAAUCCUUGGCUCUAAUACAGUCGGGGGAUGACGGUACCGGAAGAAUAAGCACCGGCUAACUACGUGCCAGCAGCCGCGGUAAUACGUAGGGUGCAAGCGUUAAUCGGAAUUACUGGGCGUAAAGCGUGCGCAGGCGGUUUGCUAAGACCGAUGUGAAAUCCCCGGGCUCAACCUGGGAACUGCAUUGGUGACUGGCAGGCUAGAGGUAUGGCAGAGGGGGGUAGAAUUCCACGUGUAGCAGUGAAAUGCGUAGAGAUGUGGAGGAAUACCGAUGGCGAAGGCAGCCCCCUGGGCCAAUACUGACGCUCAUGCACGAAAGCGUGGGGAGCAAACAGGAUUAGAUACCCUGGUAGUCCACGCCCUAAACGAUGUCAACUAGUUGUUGGGGAUUCAUUUCCUUAGUAACGUAGCUAACGCGUGAAGUUGACCGCCUGGGGAGUACGGUCGCAAGAUUAAAACUCAAAUGAAUUGACGGGGUCAUAGCUG
rnacentral:rRNA from 1 species